GACAAUUAAAUGGGCCGACUUCGCUGACCAUUGAUGGUUUUGCUUUUGCAGGUGACGAGAUGAAAAACCCACACAUUGUGCUGCUCUCGGUUUCGCUGCCGGAAACUGUGUUCUUGAGUGGGCUUCCUGCUGGGGCUAUAGAGGCUAUAAAGGCUGCGUAUGGAUCAGUAGUGCAGAUUCUUGACCCACCCAGAUGGGUUUAAUCUUACAUUGAAGCUCAAUCUCUAUAAACUUCCUACAGAUGAAGGUUCAACGAGUUCCUUUUCUAAGAGUACAAACAUGCUCUUUUGGUAAAGAUUGCAUCCGUAAGGGAAGUGGUGCUAGGAGCUCCAUUGAGAGUAAUUCUGAAGCAGCCUGCUUUGAGGACUUUUGCUUCCGAUGUUGAUCCACUUGUUGCUCUUGUGCAUCGGCCAAAGGAAUCCUUUUUCCUUAUUCCUCAGGAGGAACUAAAAUCUGUUGAACGCCUCCAACCUGCUUCCCGAUGCUGCAAAGAGUAUGUUAGUUUUUCAAUUAACUUUUGAAGGCACCUAAUUUUAUAGUAAAAGGAACUACAACUGAAUAUCUUUCAAAUUUGUUUGUUCUAGCCAUGUAAGAAAAGUGAGGUGAUUCUCUUUAUAUAAUGUUAGUCAUCUUCGAGUAGAUUGAAUAUGAAUAUUUUGCAGGAUUGCUGAUUUUGUGACUGCGAAUCCAGGUCCAUUAAUACCAACAUAAGAAUAUCACCAAAUUUUUGUAAUGUUUAGUUUGCUUUAUGUGUAUUGUGAUUAUUAUUUUGUAUUUAUCUGUCAAGCAGAAAUCGAGAGAAACGACGAUCCUGUCGCUUUUGGAAAUGGCUCUGAAAUGCCACGCUGCUCCUGCUGCGGUUCAUGCAACAGUUCAGGCUGUGGUUCAUGCAGCGGUAAAUGCUGUGGUUACAAGGGUUCAUGAUGUGGUCCAUGGAACCGUAAUUCGUGUUUCAGUUGCCCUUCACUACCAAAGUGGCGAUGUUGCUGCUCAUGUCCCCAAUCCCGUUACUGCAAAACUAGUUCAUGUUCAUGCAGCAGAAAUUGCUGCAUUUUACCAUCAUGUUCGUGUUCAUGUCCCGAUUGCUCUUGUUUGAAUUGUUUCAACUGGAAAUGCUCUUGUCCUAAAUGUCCUUGUUCAAUGUCCUUGUUGCUGUUGUAAAAUAACCUGCUGUAACCCUUGCAUUACAUGUUUGUAGUAUUCAUGACAUCUCUUAUGGAAGCUCUGUAUCAUGGCUUUUUCAUAUUUAACUAUUCUAGAUAUGCUGCAAAUAUUCAUGUAUUCAUAAAAUUGAGUUUAAGAAAUAAAUUUUAUAGUAUUAGCCUCUUCA